AACUUUCUUCCUUUACGCUUAAUAAACCUAACGUUCUCAAUUUAGGUCCACAUGCGAAAUAUUACGUUUUCCAUACUUAGAUUAUUAUUACAUAAUCAAUAUCGCCUUGAUAUUAUAACGUUACGUAUUUCUCGGAAGUUCAAAAAUAAUUCCCGAGCAGAAAUCGAUGAAUAGUGUUUUUCAGAAAAUUUCUCGGAAAGCUUUU
rnacentral:lncRNA from 1 species